AACCUCUGCAAUAGGCGAAAGCCUGACAGGGUUACUCUGAGUGAUUUCCGUUAAGGAGAUCUUUUGGCAUCUCUAAAAAUGGUGCAGAAUAAGGGGUGGGCAAGUCUGGUGUCAGCCGCCGCGGUAAUACCAGCACCCCGAGUGGUCGGGACGUUUAUUGGGCCUAAAGCAUCCGUAGCCGGUUCUACAAGUCUUCCGUUAAAUCCAGCUGCUUAACAGAUGGGCCGCGGAAGAUACUAUGGAGCUAGGAGGCGGGAGAGGCAAGCGGUACUCGAUGGGUAGGGGUAAAAUCCGUUGAUCCAUUGAAGACCACCAGUGGCGAAGGCGGCUUGCCAGAACGCGCUCGACGGUGAGGGAUGAAAGCUGGGGGAGCAAACCGGAUUAGAUACCCGGGUAGUCCCAGCUGUAAACGAUGCGAGCUAGGUGACACAAGGCCUUCGGGGCCUUGUGGUGCCGCAGGGAAGCCGUUAAGCUUGCCGCCUGGGGAGUACGGACGCAAGUCUGAAACUUAA
rnacentral:rRNA from 1 species